GCGGAUGUGGUGAAAUUGGCAGACACGCAAGAUUUAGGUUCUUGUACGAUAGUGUGCAGGUUCAAGUCCUGUCAUCCGCACCA
rnacentral:tRNA from 1 species